rnacentral:lncRNA from 1 species
GGAAAAUAUAUGAACGCCUUUAUUAAAAGUUACGGUUGGAAGAAAUUGCAUAUUUUGGUGGUGUUUGAGACUCCAAUUACGAACUAAAUAUUAAUACGUCAAGUGCUUUUUCUAAUAAGACAAAAUUUUAAAUCAAAGUUGUAUCACUUAAUUUGCUGGAUUGUUGAACUAAUAGAUUAACAUCCACUCAAAAAAUACUAAGUUUCACAGGUAUACAUUCUCUCUGUUAUAUGCACAUACACAUUCUCCCUCUCUCUCUCUCUCUCUCAGACACACAAAAAAUACAUUUUUCAUCUCUCAGACACAUACAAUUUCAUGCAAACUCACAAGCCAAUGGUAAUCUCAUUUGUCUUUAGGUAGGUAAUAUAUGUUUCUUCUUCACAUUCCUCCACUAAACUAUCCAUUUGCAAGCAUUACUUGAUUUUUCCUCUGACCUCAGUUGUUUAUAUGAAAAAAGAAAUGGCCUAUGAGGUAAAUGGAAACUCAUUAAGAGAAAAUUAAGGUGCUACCCUAACAUAGUACUAAAUGAAAUAGCAGGCAAUCUAAGUGCAAAACUAAGAGUAGAUCAACUACAUGCUUCGAGAAGGGACUCAAUAUGUAUAGCUUCAACCAGAAAGAAAAUCAAUCAUGACUUUGAACCAUGCCUACUGUAGGUCAAAAGGUUUUCUCGCAUGGGUAGCCUACACUUAUACAUACACAAAUAGUGCAAGUAUAUGUACAUAUGUGUGUAUUUCUACUUUUGUGUGAAACAGUGAAAGUAUGGACAUACAAGAGAUAUUAUCAAAUACCAUAGAUAUCUGUUUAAGAAGAUUCAUGAAAUAUCAAAUUUACAAUCAAACUUUAGCUUAGAACCACAACCAGAAGUUAUUAACAGCUAUACAAGAUGAGUUCAAAUCAAAUGAAAGAGCAACAAAUGAUGAUUUCAGAUCAAACUAUAAUGAUUCCAGCAGAGGAAAAAGAUUGACACAAUGGAGUAAACAACGCCAUGCAUGCUGCACACUCCUGGGCUAUUGUUUCUGGCAAAAGGACACCAGGAUAUUUCCUAAUUUCUGCAUAUAAACAGGUGAGUACAAAUAUUUGACUC